AUGAACAGAUGGGCAGAAUCCCCUCCCUCCCUGCUGGCUGUGUUUCUCUGGAUGCAGCUCAGGAUACGGUUGUCCUUCUGGGCUGUGAGCGCAGGUUGCUGGCUCAUGUCGACAACACUUGCUCGCAGCCCAGAAGGCCAACCGUGCGUGUCAACAAGAUGCUGCGUGCGAUGUGCUGUGUGUCUGCUCCCAUGCCAUGGCGACCUCGAUUUCGCCAGAGCAUUGGGAAGAAAUUCAAAUGCUUAGGGGUUUUAGUGGGAUGGGGAGUGUCCUCCAAUUUGCCUGUUGAAGUAUUUGAAUGACGUUUGAUAGGCGAUGGCAAGAUGCCGGCGUUUAUGGAUUGCAGGGAGGCAACAGGGGAUGGUGACUCAAGAGCUUCCCUAAGAACCCAUCCUCAUGGAGCUAUACCAGAUACUUCUUCAAGGACCCACGCUGCUAUGUCUGCCUGGCACUGAGGCACACCGGCUUCUUUGGACAAGGUUAGAGGACGUCUAACGCAGCGCUGGCAUGGCCUGAGACAAGAUCUAUCUGGGUCAGAGACAGGAUCCCCGAGCCUGAUAUCAAGAACAUCGGUGUUGAGGUCUUGGAUUGCAGCUGGUGAAGCUGUGCUGUGCCUGCCUUGCUGUCUCUAUAACGCGUACGUACCCGUGGACGCACGCGCACACCUCUGCUUAUGAAACCCUGGGCUUUGGCAUUUCUCUUAAAACCAGAACGUUCCUGCAAUCUGUUCAUCCACAAAACCUGGCUCCCAUUCUUGUUUUCCCUUUGAGAAAAGCUGCCUCUACACACGGCCACACGAUGAUAGCGAGGAGGAGUCUGAAUCACGCAAAUCAACAAAUAGAACCAUAGAUUCAUAGAAUGGUUUGGGUUGGAAGGGACAUCAAACCCAGCCAGUUCCAAACCCGCUGCCACUGGCUCAGGGGCUCCAAGCCCCAUCCAACCUGGCCUUGAACACCUCCAGAGAUGGGGCAGCCACCACUGCUUUGGGCAACCUGGGCCAGGGCCUCCCCACCCUCACAAGAGAACAUUUCUUCUUAAGAUGUCAUCUCAAUCUCCCGUCUUUCAGCUGAAAAUUAUCACCCCCAUUACCCCUCAUCCAUCUCUGCUCUCCCUGAUCAAGAACCUCUCCCCAGCUUUCCUGUAUCUUCACUGGCUAGAAAUGCAAAAGCCUCUCAGAAAAAUACCACGGCAGGAAGGACGUGCCACCCAACGUGAAUCGUAGAGAAAGAUGAUGUCCUUGCACAGCAAGGCGACUUACCCAAAUCACCAAUGGGAUCAAGUGGGAUUCCUGUGAAGCCGUGCGAAUUGGUCGGAGGACACCAGUGCUUUUAUAGGGUCCUUGAUGGAACUACAGAAAGGAGACACCCCUUUGUGGACGUUGUCCUGAUUCAUCUUUUGGCCAAGCCCAGCUGCACCUUCACGUCCUCAAACGGGUUAUUUAACUUAUCAUCCCCUUACCUAUCAUUUUAACCCAGAAAUAGCAGUUGCCAUGUGGCAAUUCAGGCACUGGCUGGUUCCACCUAAUCCCGACUGUAAAGUACUUUUACAAGCUGAUUGUAUUUCAGACUUUAAAAAACAUAAAGUGGCAGUAAAAUGUAGAUAUCCAUUAAUGGGAGGGUGUAUUUUUACAUAAAUGUCUAUCUUUGUAGGUAUGAAUUGAUAUUUGUCUAAUAACACAAUGAAAAUAGUCCGAGAGCGAGAUUUUGAGGAUGAGGAUGGAAACACUGAUGGUUGAAGAGCUCACUGCAAGUACAUCGGGGACAGUUGGGCUCUGUGUAGCCCAUGAGCUCAGAACCAUCAUAACAGAGCUUAUUUUCAUUUGAUUUUUGCGGAGUUCCUUCAGGUCAAUUGGAUUUGGGGUUGGUUUUUGCUUGGAGAAGGACUGAGGAAAACUUAAGUGCGACAAAAACGGGUGAGAUCAUAGAAUCAUAGAAUCCUAGAAUAGUUUGGCUUGGAAAGGACCGUAAAGAUCAUCCAGUUCCACCUCCCCUGCCACGGACAGGGACAUGUCCCACUAGAUCCUGAAAUCCUCCAGACCUCAGUUUGUGCGGCAUCCUUGUAGAGUGUUAUAGUUUUGAUAACUUCUUAUUAAGGAACCUUUUUGUUAUAUUAUUCAAGACUUCAUUGGUAAACCCAACCAUAAGCAGAACGUUUUAUAAUGGUCUACAAAGGGAAUUUCCAUACAAGAACGCAUCUGUUCAAUGACUUGUCGUUGAGAAAAAUCAAGACCAAAUAUUUUUUGUAUUAACUGCCUUCCACGAAUGACUUUCAUUUCGAAUUUACUUGAUCUUUAAUUACAAAUAUAAGCAGAAACCUCUCUGCUGAGAGGUCGAUUCAUGUUGAAGCUUCAUCUGGUUGCCGUAGGCAGAUUUUGCUGUAAUUACCUCUAUGAUCUUCUCUUUUUUUUUUAAGCUUUUAACAUUAAAUUAAUUAGAGACCGAUUCCUUUAUUCACCUCGAAUGCUCCCAGUUCACAGAGCAAAUAAGGGAGAUACCAGUCGUGCCGAUUGGGCCCCUGCUUUUGGGUUUGGAGGGAGGACGGUGCCUUGACAAGCGUGACGGAGACAUUGCAGCGAGCCUUUGGAGCAUGAACUUGUCACGCAGCCUUGGGGGCUGGGGCAGCGCAGGACGGUCGGUUGCCACGUGAGCCAUCGCGCAGAGAUCGGGAGAAAUGGAAUUCUCUGGAAAAUGUAAUGUUUGGAGGAAUGCUUCAGAUGGAAUGGGGUUUCGACUGAUGAAAUUUAAGUCGUGAAUCUCCUAUUCCAUGUCACGGCCAUCACGAGCUGAGUUACUCUUAAACAACGCAGCUGGGCAGGCAGAGAGAGAAAGAAGAGGUGGAGAAGGGCACAGAUAAAAUGAAGCAGAAUAAGGGAAGCAAAAGAGAGAGGAAGAAGGAUCUCAAAGGAAUACGAAUCUGAAAAUUGGGCUGCAGAGAUGGCAGAGUGUGAAGGCUGGAGAGGUGAAAGCUGAAAGGCUGAGGGCCUACGGUAAGAGAGGAGAGAGAAAAAAACCCAUCUGGCUUUCUCUGGAGCAAAGCUGUGGAUGAGGUUGUCUCUAACAAACCGUGGAAUAGUGUAAUUCCAGAUCUCUUUGAUUAUCAUUCUUCUGCUUUAGGAGAGCUCAGCAGUGGCAGCUCCAGGGCCAUCCUCAUGGCUUGAAGCGCCUUCUGGUAGCAAAGUCAGAUGGUGUCAAACGCUUGUCCAGGCUUACCUGGGCGAGAAGCAAGAGCGUCGAGCUUCAGGAGUGCGGUGUGGAGCAGGUCAGCUCUUGGCGGUCUUAUAUACAGCUCAGGAUCAAAGCCUGCAUCUUCCAGAGGAGACACCCCUCCAGCAGGGCGACCAAAAACAUCUCCCACCCAAUUACAUUGUCAUGCCUCUGUCUUCAGUUUCGCUCUUUCUCAUUAACUUCUGCUCUGGUGCUUUGCUCUGGAGUUAACGCGUGACCCUUCCGAAAGCUUGCCCCACCUGCAGACCCAUUUCAGAGGAAUUUAACAGAAAAAGCUAUUUUUACCCCCGGAGGAUUUAAUUUAAGGAUGAACAACCCCAACUCUCUCAGCCUGUCCUCGUACAGGAGGUUCUCCAGCCCUCUGAUCAUCCUUGGAGCCUCGUCUGGACCCAUUUCAACAGCUCCAUCUCCUUCUUGUGUUGAGGAUUCCAAAACUGGACACAACCCUCCAGGCUUUUUCUCCUUGUCCUGGAUCUCCCUUAUAGAAGAAGCCCCAUCUUGCAGCAGCUCCAAGAGAUGCAGUUAUCACUAUCUUACCUUGAACGUUGCUAAAAGCAGCGACAGGUGAAA